CGGAGGGGGCUAGCGUUGUUCGGAAUUACUGGGCGUAAAGCGCACGUAGGCGGCUUUGUAAGUUAGAGGUGAAAGCCCAGGGCUUAACCCUGGAAUUGCCUUUAAGACUGCAUCGCUAGAAUCGUGGAGAGGUGAGUGGAAUUCCGAGUGUAGAGGUGAAAUUCGUAGAUAUUCGGAAGAACACCAGUGGCGAAGGCGACUCACUGGACACGUAUUGACGCUGAGGUGCGAAAGCGUGGGGAGCAACAGG
rnacentral:rRNA from 1 species